UACGAAGGGGGCUAGCGUUGUUCGGAAUUACUGGGCGUAAAGCGCACGUAGGCGGCUUUGUAAGUUAGAGGUGAAAGCCUGGGGCUCAACUCCAGAACUGCCUUUAAAACUGCAUCGCUUGAAUCCAGGAGAGGUGAGUGGAAUUCCGAGUGUAGAGGUGAAAUUCGUAGAUAUUCGGAAGAACACCAGUGGCGAAGGCGACUUACUGGACGACUGUUGACGCUGAGGUGCGAAAGCGUGGGGAGCAAACAGG
rnacentral:rRNA from 1 species